GAUGAACGCUGGCGGCGUGCCUAAUACAUGCAAGUCGAGCGAACGGACGAGAAGCUUGCUUUUCUGAUGUUAGCGGCGGACGGGUGAGUAACACGUGGAUAACCUACCUAUCAGACUGGGAUAACUUCGGGAAACCGGAGCUAAUCCCGGAUAAUAUUUUGAACCGCAUGGUUCAUAAGUGAAAGACGGUCUUGCUGUCACUUAUAGAUGGAUCCGCGCUGCAUUAGCUAGUUGGUAAGGUAACGGCUUACCAAGGCAACGAUGCAUAGCCGACCUGAGAGGGUGAUCGGCCACACGGGAACGGAGACACGGUCCAGACUCCUACGGGAGGCAGCAGUAGGGAAUCUUCCGCAAUGGGCGAAAGCCUGACGGAGCAACGCCGCGUGAGUGAUGAAGGUCUUCGGAUCGUAAAACUCUGUUAUUAGGGAAGAACAUAUGUGUAAGUAACUGUGCACAUCGUGACGGUACCUAAUCAGAAAGCAACGGCUAACUACGUG
rnacentral:rRNA from 1 species